rnacentral:rRNA from 1 species
UACGGAGGGUGCAAACGUUGCUCGGAAUCAUUGGGCGUAAAGCGCACGUAGGCGGCCUGAUAAGUCGGGUGUGAAAGCCCUGGGCUCAACCCAGGAAGUGCACUCGAAACUGUCAGGCUUGAAUAUGGAAGAGGGUCGCGGAAUUCUCGGUGUAGCGGUGAAAUGCGUAGAUAUCGAGAGGAACACCUGCGGCGAAGGCGGGUUGCUGGGCCGACACUGACGCUGAGGCGCGAAAGCCAGGGGAGCGAACGGG